UACGUAGGGCGCAAGCGUUAUCCGGAAUUAUUGGGCGUAAAGAGCUCGUAGGCGGUUUGGCGCGUCUGCCGUGAAAGUCCGGGGCUCAACUCCGGAUCUGCGGUGGGUACGGGCAGACUAGAGUGAUGUAGGGGAGACUGGAAUUCCUGGUGUAGCGGUGAAAUGCGCAGAUAUCAGGAAGAACACCCGUGGCGAAGGCGGCUCUCUGGGACGGUACUGACGCUGAGACGCGAAAGCGUGGGGAGCGAACAGG
rnacentral:rRNA from 1 species